CCUACGGUGGCUGCAGUGGGGAAUAUUGGACAAUGGGCGAAAGCCUGAUCCAGCCAUGCCGCGUGUGUGAAGAAGGCCUUCGGGUUGUAAAGCACUUUCAGUGGGGAAGAAAGCCUUGGGGCUAAUACCCUCGAGGAAGGACAUCACCCACAGAAGAAGCACCGGCUAACUCCGUGCCAGCAGCCGCGGUAAUACGGAGGGUGCGAGCGUUAAUCGGAAUUACUGGGCGUAAAGCGCGCGUAGGCGGUCUGAUAAGCCGGUUGUGAAAGCCCCGGGCUCAACCUGGGAACGGCAUCCGGAACUGUCAGGCUAGAGUGCAGGAGAGGAAGGUAGAAUUCCCGGUGUAGCGGUGAAAUGCGUAGAGAUCGGGAGGAAUACCAGUGGCGAAGGCGGCCUUCUGGACUGACACUGACGCUGAGGUGCGAAAGCGUGGGUAGCAAACAGGAUUAAUACCCCAGUAGUC
rnacentral:rRNA from 1 species